GUAAAUAUAGUUUAAGAAAAACAUUAGAUUGUGAAUCUAAUAAUACGAGCUCAAACCUCCUUAUUUACC
rnacentral:tRNA from 2 species